rnacentral:rRNA from 1 species
GACGAACGCUGGCGGCGCGCCUAACACAUGCAAGUCGAGGGAGAACCGAGCUUUCGGGUUCGGGGAGACCGGCGAACGGGUGAGUAACACGUGAGGAACCUGCCCUGUAGACCGGAAUAACCACGGGAAACUGUGGCUAAUGCCGGAUAUUCUCCGCCACCCGCAUGGGUGGCGUGAGGAAAAGGUCCGCUGCUACAGGAGGGCCUCGCGGCCUAUCAGCUUGUUGGUGAGGUAACGGCUCACCAAGGCGACGACGGGUAGCUGGCGUGAGAGCGCGACCAGCCACACUGGGACUGAGACACGGCCCAGACUCCUACGGGAGGCAGCAGUGGGGAAUCUUGCGCAAUGGGCGAAAGCCUGACGCAGCGACGCCGCGUGCGGGAAGAAGGCCU